UGGGGAAUUUUGGACAAUGGGCGAAAGCCUGAUCCAGCAAUGCCGCGUGUGUGAAGAAGGCCUUCGGGUUGUAAAGCACUUUUGUCCGGAAAGAAAUCCUUGGCUCUAAUACAGUCGGGGGAUGACGGUACCGGAAGAAUAAGCACCGGCUAACUACGUGCCAGCAGCCGCGGUAAUACGUAGGGUGCAAGCGUUAAUCGGAAUUACUGGGCGUAAAGCGUGCGCAGGCGGUUUGCUAAGACCGAUGUGAAAUCCCCGGGCUCAACCUGGGAACUGCAUUGGUGACUGGCAGGCUAGAGUAUGGCAGAGGGGGGUAGAAUUCCACGUGUAGCAGUGAAAUGCGUAGAGAUGUGGAGGAAUACCGAUGGCGAAGGCAGCCCCCUGGGCCAAUACUGACGCUCAUGCACGAAAGCGUGGGGAGCAAAUAGGAUUAGAUACCCUGGUAGUCCACGCCCUAAACGAUGUCAACUAGUUGUUGGGGAUUCAUUUUCCUUAGUAACGUAGCUAACGCGUGAAGUUGACCGCCUGGGGGAGUACGGUCGCAA
rnacentral:rRNA from 1 species